rnacentral:miRNA from 1 species
UGUUGGCACGGUUCAAUCAAA